UAGGGAAUCUUCCGCAAUGGGCGAAAGCCUGACGGAGCAACGCCGCGUGAGUGAAGAAGGAUUUCGGUUCGUAAAGCUCUGUUGUUAGGGAAGAAUGAUUGUGUAGUAACUAUACACAGUAGAGACGGUACCUAACCAGAAAGCCACGGCUAACUACNNNGCCAGCAGCCGCGGUAAUACGUAGGUGGCAAGCGUUGUCCGGAAUUAUUGGGCGUAAAGCGCGCGCAGGUGGUUUAAUAAGUCUGAUGUGAAAGCCCACGGCUCAACCGUGGAGGGUCAUUGGAAACUGUUAAACUUGAGUGCAGGAGAGAAAAGUGGAAUUCCUAGUGUAGCGGUGAAAUGCGUAGAGAUUAGGAGGAACACUAGUGGCGAAGGCGGCUUUUUGGCCUGUAACUGACACUGAGGCGCGAAAGCGUGGGGAGCAAACAGGAUUAGAUACCCUGGUAGUCCACGCCGUAAACGAUGAGUGCUAAGUGUUGGUCUCAUAAGAGAUCAGUGCUGCAGCUAACGCAUUAAGCACUCCGCCUGGGGAGUACGACCGCAAGGUUG
rnacentral:rRNA from 1 species